UCAAGCUGAAAAGAGCGCAAGGGGAAUGCCUUGGCAUCAGGAGCCGACGAAGGACGUGACAAGCUGCGAUAAGCCACGGGGAGGAGCAAAUAUCCGUUAUAUCCGUGGAUCUCCGAAUGGGGGAACCCGCUCAAGCAAUACUUGAGCAUCGUGCGUUGAAUCAAAUAGGCGUACGAAGGGAACGGCCUGAACUGAAACAUCUAAGUAGGGCCAGGAAAAGACAUCAACCGAGAUUCCGCUAGUAGUGGCGAGCGAACGCGGAGGAGGCCAAACCGAGGGACGCAAGUUCUUCGGGGUUGCGGACAGACAUCAUGACCAGAGGUAAUUAAGAGAACGGCGUGGGAAAGCCGGCCACAGAAGGUGAGAGCCCUGUAUCUGAAAAUGAAGACUGGCAGUCUGGAUCCAGAGUACCGCGGGACACGUGAAACCCCGUGGGAAACCGGGUGGACCACCAUCCAAGCCUAAAUACUACCUGAUGACCGAUAGAGGAGCAGUACCGUGAGGGAAAGGUGAAAAGGACCCCGGGAGGGGAGUGAAAGAGAACCUGAAACCUUGUGCUUACAAACAGUCAAAGGCCUACGGGCUGAUGGCGUACUUUUUGUAGAACGGUCCGGCGAGUUACUAAUGCCAGCGAGGUUAAGUGGUCAGAAGCCACGGAGCCGAAGGGAAACCAAGUCUGAAUAGGGCGUAGAGUUGGUAUUAGUAGACCCGAAACCGGGUGACCUAUCCAUGUCCAGGUUGAAGGAACCGUAAAAGGUUUUGGAGGACCGAACACACAUGUGUUGAAAAACGUGGUGAUGAGGUGUGGAUAGCGGAGAAAUUCCAAUCGAACUCGGAGAUAGCUGGUUCUCCUCGAAAUAGCUUUAGGGCUAGCCUCGAGCUGGAGUCUAACGGAGGUAAAGCACUGAACUGACGCGGGGCCCAAAAAGGUUACCAACUCAUAUCAAACUAAGAAUGCCGUCAAGAUACCCUCGGGAGUCAGUCUGCGUGAGAUAAGUCGCGUGGACAAAAGGGAAAGAGCCCAGACCGACAGCUAAGGUCCCAAAGUACGUGUUAAGUGGAAAAGGAUGUGGGAUUUCAUAGACAACUAGGAUGUUGGCUUAGAAGCAGCCAUACAUUUAAAGAGUGCGUAAUAGCUCACUAGUCGAGAAAACCUGCGCCGAAAAUGUAACGGGGCUAAAACACGACACCGAAGCUACGGAUUUCCUACUAGGUAGGAAGUGGUAGAGGAGCAUCCUGCAAGGACGAAGCCAAAGUGAGAGCGAUGGUGGACGAAACAGGAGAGAGAAUGCCGGAAUGAGUAGCGAGAUACAUGUGAGAAACAUGUAGGCCGAAUAUCUAAGGAUUCCUGGGUAAAGCUAAUCUUCCCAGGGUUAGUCGGGGCCUAAGGCGAGGACGAGAGUCGUAGUCGAUGGAUAACAGGUUGAUAUUCCUGUACUACACAUAAUCAGAACUGUGGGGACGCAGGAGGAUAGGGAAACCGGGGAAUGGAAAGACCCGGUCAAGCGCAAAGCUGUGGGAGAUAGGCAAAUCCGUCUCCUGUAAGUGAAGCGUGAUGAGGACUGAAAAAAAGUAAGGAAGUUUCCGAAUCCACACUGCCGAGAAAAGCCGCUAUUGCGUUAUGUGUACCCGUACCGUAAACCGACACAGGUAGAUGAGGAGAAAAUCCACAGGCCGACGGGAGAAGUGUUGUUAAGGAACUCGGCAAAAUGACCCCGUAACUUCGGGAUAAGGGGAGCCUCGCAAGAGGCCGCAGAAAAGAGGCACAAGCAACUGUUUAGCAAAAACAUAGGUCUAUGCGAAACCGUAAGGUGAAGUAUAUGGGCUGACGCCUGCCCGGUGCUGGAAGGUUAAAAGGAGAGGUCAGCGCAAGCGAAGCUUUGAAUUCAAGCCCCAGUAAACGGCGGCCGUAACUAUAACGGUCCUAAGGUAGCGAAAUUCCUUGUCAGGUAAGUUCUGACCCGC
rnacentral:rRNA from 1 species